rnacentral:rRNA from 1 species
UGGGGGAUAUUGCACAAUGGGCGAAAGCCUGAUGCAGCGACGCCGCGUGGGGGAUGAAGGCUUUCGGGUUGUAAACCUCUUUCGCUAUCGAACAAGGCCCGCUUAGGGUGGGUUGAGGGUAGGUGGAGAAGAAGCGCCGGCUAACUACGUGCCAGCAGCCGCGGUAAUACGCAGGGCGCGGGCGUUGUCCGGAAUUAUUGGGCGUAAAGGGCUUGUAGGCGGCUUGUUGCGCCUGCUGUGAAAACGCGGGGCUUAACUUCGCGCGUGCAGUGGGUACGGGCAGGCUUGAGUGUGGUAGGGGUGACUGGAAUUCCAGGUGUAGCGGUGGAAUGCGCAGAGAUCUGGAGGGACACAGAUGGCGAAGGCAGGUCACUGGGCCAUUACUGUCGCUGAGGAGCGAAAGCAUGGGUAGCGAACAGG